rnacentral:rRNA from 1 species
UACGAAGGGGGGCUAGCGUUGCUCGGAUUGACUGGGCGUAAAGGGCGCGUAGGCGGCUUGUACAGUCAGACGUGAAAUUCCUGGGCUCAACCUGGGGGCUGCGUUUGAUACGUAUGGGCUUGAGUUCGGAAGAGGGUCGUGGAAUUCCCAGUGUAGAGGUGAAAUUCGUAGAUAUUGGGAAGAACACCGGUGGCGAAGGCGGCGACCUGGUCCGAUACUGACGCUGAGGCGCGAAAGCGUGGGG